rnacentral:rRNA from 1 species
UACGUAGGGUGCGAGCGUUAAUCGGAAUUACUGGGCGUAAAGCGUGCGCAGGUGGUUGUGUAAGCCAGAUGUGAAAUCCCCGGGCUUAACCUGGGAAUGGCAUUUGGGACUGCACGGCUAGAGUGUGGCAGAGGGGGGUGGAAUUCCGCGUGUAGCAGUGAAAUGCGUAGAGAUGCGGAGGAACACCGAUGGCGAAGGCAGCCCCCUGGGUUAACACUGACACCUCAUGCACGAAAGCGUGGGGAGCAAACAGG